AUACGUAGGGGGCGAGCGUUGUCCGGAAUGACUGGGCGUAAAGGGCGUGUAGGCGGCUGUCUAAGUCUGGAGUGAAAGUCCUGCUUUCAAGGAGGGAAUUGCUUUGGAAACUGGAUGGCUUGAGUGCGGAAGAGGUAAGUGGAAUUCCCAGUGUAGCGGUGAAAUGCGUAGAGAUUGGGAGGAACACCAGUGGCGAAGGCGACUUACUGGGCCGUAACUGACGCUGAGGCGCGAAAGCGUGGGGAGCGAACAGGAUUAGAUACCCUGGUAGUCCACGCGGUAAACGAUGAAUGCCAGGUGUUGCGGGUAUCGACCCCUGCAGUGCCGGAGUAAACACAAUAAGCAUUCCGCCUGGGGAGUACGGCCGCAAGGUUGAAACUCAAAUGAAUUGACGGGG
rnacentral:rRNA from 1 species